UGUCAGUGAAUCGUCGAUGUCCAACGUAAUUGAACUAAAAACGGUUUGUAAAUAGUAAUUUUAAUCAAUACUACUCUUGAAAAUCGCCUUGAAUAGUACACAAAUAUAUUAUAGGGCACUAAAUUACAAAACCAAACAGUUUUAUUGAAAUGCUUACAAAUUACUAAAGUCUAAAACGACAAGUACCUACCAAAACAACAGUAAGGGACUUAUUAAGGAGCAUAAUUUCGUGAAAAUAUCUUGGACAAUGCGAUCACAAAUGUAUAUUUACAUUAUUUAUAAUUUCAGUACUUUUCUAUGUAAUGGCUUUUGGCGUAAUUGUAAAUUCUUAACCAUGUCCGUUUUUUCUAGACAAAUAUUGUCAAGAACAGGCUUCACAGUUAGAUUGAUAACCAUACUAGACAAUUUAUCCUUGUGCAAGGGGCAACAAAAUAACGAAUUUUCCUUCAAAUGAGGAUAUAAGCACUGAAAUGCUUGAUAUGGCAUUUCAUAUUUUAAAAAAGUUUCGUUAGGAUAUGUUAGACCUCCACGAUCUUGCAAGAAUAUCAAACGGAGCAAAGGCCCUGGAAGUGUUGUGGAAACUAAUAGUGAUACACACACGUCACACUUUAAUUUAUCAUUCAGUUUCUUAAUUAUGUAACCUGCUAGGAACGCUACUGACGCAGAAUAUAUUGUAUUGUUAGCAGGCAUGUUUGUCUUCAAAUUUUGAAUUUUCAUUCUUAACUGAAAAGUUUCAGAAAUAUUUGCCGAGGUGGAAGCCUUAACAAUGCCACAACGUAAUAUUUGACGUAGGGCGUACUCCGCCGCCCUUGCGUCUGUUGCAUCAUUAGACCCUCCUCUCAGGCGUACAUGGGAAAACAUAGCUUCAACAGCAUCUGAACUGAAUCCCCUUGUUAAAACGUAGUAAAAUCCAACUUGUUUCAGCAAGAAUUUUAUACAAAGGCAUGUACUCUUGGCGGUGAAUUUUAAGGCCUCUGCUGUUUCUUCUGAUAAGCCAGACAAUCUGUCUCUUGAAGAACUGCUUUGCACAUCGUCGAUGUAAUUAGGAAGUGUUACAUUUAACCACUCUAACCUUUGGUCUGAUACAUCUGCAUAAGGUGCAACCGUGCUGUCUCGUGAACGGAUAUAAUACGUUCUACUAGACACGUUGUGGAUUUGGAAAAACUUAUACAUGUUUUCCAGAUAACUAAUAGUGGCGUCGACGUUGCAAAACCUCGGAUCACCUGUUUACUUCAAAAACUUCAAAGAUGCCGUUACUGAUGGUGAAAAUAUUUGAAUGGCUCGCAGCACAUUCAUUUUCUCAAAAUUCGAAGGGUACAAAUGCUUCCUGGUUAGGUACCUUACAGGUUUAACAGGCAAAUCUUUUUGUAACUCGUACAAUUUUUUCAAAUAUGUAGAUGAAAUAACACCUUCGGAAGAGGACAUUUCCCUGUCUAAAAAUAAACUCCUCGCAUUCUUCACUGCAUGACAGUAGUCGUAGCUCAAAAACAAAGGUAUUGAUGGCAGAACAGGGUGAGAAAUAUAAUUCUGAAGAGAUCCAUUUCCCAACUUUUUAAAAAGUGCAGUAUUUGCCGAAAAGUUAUCCGUCACCAGUCUCAACACAAUAAAUCCACUUUCACUCAAAAGUUGUAAAACCGAAAUAGUAAGCGCAUGAAAAUCAUUUGUGGAUAAAGAUUUAUGAAAAAAAUAUCCCGCUGGGAUGGUAUAUUUCGUCGACAACCCAUGGACAACGUAACACAACAUCUUAUUUGCGAUUUGGGGACGUUGGCCUAUUUCGUGGGAACCACAAGUAUCCAAGCCAUAAAUAUGAUCAUCAGUUCUACUAUACUGGAUUCUUUCUUUGACUGACAUAUCGUCAACUAUUAAAGAACACACUCUUUCAACCGGUACUCUAAAAUUUUGGACUUCAGCCUCCAAACGUUGUUUUAUUAAGACAUUUUGGCCUUUGUAUUCACCAAGAAACCUUGAUAAAGUACUUUUCGAAGGAACUUUAAACAAAUUCGUGUGACAGAAUCGGUAACCUUUCGGAGAGCAAAAUCUCCAUAUAAUUGACAUUCUUAUGGUUUGCUCAGACCAUCUCGGUUUCUGCUUAAAGUGGUUUUUUAAUAAAUCCAACAGAAAUGCCGCCUUUUCAUCACCAGCUUCUGCAUUUCUUACUAAUUUAGUGAUAAGCUCUACAUUUGGAGAGUUUUCGCUUUUCUGUUGCUUCAAAUCUUCAAUUUUUGACAAACAUUGAUGGUAUUUUU